rnacentral:tRNA from 1 species
CGUGCGGUGGGCUCCGCCGGAGGUGGCGGACGCGUUCUGCGCGGCACGGCUCGGCGGGGACGGCGGCGCGGCGUUCGGGACGCUCCCGCACAC